AUUGAACGCUGGCGGCAGGCCUAACACAUGCAAGUCGAGCGGCAGCGGGAAAGUAGCUUGCUACUUUUGCCGGCGAGCGGCGGACGGGUGAGUAAUGCCUGGGAAAUUGCCCAGUCGAGGGGGAUAACAGUUGGAAACGACUGCUAAUACCGCAUACGCCCUACGGGGGAAAGCAGGGGACCUUCGGGCCUUGCGCGAUUGGAUAUGCCCAGGUGGGAUUAGCUAGUUGGUGAGGUAAUGGCUCACCAAGGCGACGAUCCCUAGCUGGUCUGGGAGGAUGAUCAGCCACACUGGAACUGAGGAACGGUCCAGAGUCCUACGGGAGGCAGCAGUGGGGAAUAUUGCACAAUGGGGGAAACCCUGAUGCAGCCAUGCCGCGUGUGUGAAGAAGGCCUUCGGGUUGUAAAGCACUUUCAGCGAGGAGGAAGGUUGGUGCCUAAUACGUAUCAACUGUGACGUUACUCGCAGAAGAAGCACCGGCUAACUCCGUGCCAGCCGCCGCCGUAAAAC
rnacentral:rRNA from 1 species